rnacentral:rRNA from 1 species
GAUCACGUAAAUCUUUAAUAGUCGAACAGACUAAAUUUCUUUAACUGCUUCACCAAAAAUUUCAUUUAAUUCAACAUCGAGGUCGCAAACCUAAUUAUUAAUAAGAACUUGCUAAUAAGAUAACGCUGUUAUCCCUAGAGUAACUUUAUAAACCUUUAGUAAACCUCAAAUAAAAAUAUAUCUCUUCCUCUAUUACCCCAAUAAAAAAUUAAUAUAAUUUUAAGCUUCUAGGGUCUUCUCGUCCCAAGGGUUCAUAAAAGCUUUCUUACUUUUAAAUCAAAUUCAAAUUAAAUUAAUAAAACUUUCCUUUUAGUUUAAACCUUUCAUUCCAGCCCCCAAUAAAAGAA